rnacentral:rRNA from 1 species
CAGUCGCCGCAGGAAAACGUAGGUCCCGAGCGUUGCCCGGAUUUAUUGGGCGUAAAGCGAGCGUAGACGGUUAAACAAGUCUGAAGUGAAAUGCCGGGGCUCAACCCCGGAGCUGCUUUGGGAACUGUAGAACUGGAGUGUCGGAGGGGUAAGCGGAAUUCCCAGUGUAGCGGUGAAAUGCGUAGAUAUUGGGAGGAACACCGGCGGCGAAGGCGGCUUACUGGACGACAACUGACGUUGAGGCUCGAAGGCGUGGGUAGCAAACAGGAUUAGAUACCCCCGUAGUCCCUGUCUCUUAUAC